rnacentral:rRNA from 1 species
AUUGAACGCUGGCGGCAUGCCUAACACAUGCAAGUCGAACGGCAACACGCCGAGAGUUGCCCACUAGUGGUGACGGGGGGCGGAAGGGUGAGGAAUGUAUCCGCUUCUGGUGGAUCUCGGCUAGAAACGGUAGGCAACAUCGAAUACUAUCUAAUAAGUAAAACGGGUGACCGCAAGGGCUCUCGGGAUUUUUGCCGCCGGUGUGAGAUGAUGUCGGAUUUGAGAGUUGGUGUGGUAAAGGCACACCAAGGCAACGAGACGUAGCCGACCUGAGAGGGAGACCGGCCACACUGGGACUGAGACACGGCCCAGACUCCUACGGGAGGCAGCAGUGGGGAAUUUUGGGCAAUGGGCGAAAGCCUGAUGCAGCAAAGCCGCGUGGGGGAAGAAGGCCUUCGGGUUGUAAACUUCUUUUAUUCGGGAAGAAAAAGCUCUGGUUUAACUCCGCGCGUAUUGACGGUACCUAAAAAAAAAGCCACGGCUAACUACGUG